UACGAAGGGGGCUAGCGUUGCUCGGAAUCACUGGGCGUAAAGCGCACGUAGGCGGAUUGCUAAGUCAGGGGUGAAAUCCUGGAGCUCAACUCCAGAACUGCCUUUGAUACUGGCGAUCUCGAGUCCGGGAGAGGUGAGUGGAACUGCGAGUGUAGAGGUGAAAUUCGUAGAUAUUCGCAAGAACACCAGUGGCGAAGGCGGCUCACUGGCCCGGUACUGACGCUGAGGUGCGAAAGCGUGGGUAGCAAACGGG
rnacentral:rRNA from 1 species